GGUAGUAUGGCAUAGAGUGUAUUAUCAGGCCUGCCCAGUGGAUAUACUUAACGGCCGCGGUAUUUUGACCGUGCAAAGGUAGCAUAAUCAUUUGUCUAUUAAUUGUGGACUAGAAUGAAUGGUUGAACCUAAAUUAGCUUUUUUAUUAACAAUCAUGAAUUUUCAUUUCUUGUAAAAAUGCAUGAGAGGCUAUAAAGGGACGAGAAGACCCUAUUAAGCUUUAUGUAGGAUAAUAAGUUAAUAAAAAGAAUUUAAGUAUUAGUUAAUACAUUUUUCUGGGGCGGUAGAUAUUAAAAAACUGGAUGAUUAUAUGCUUAUUAGGUCCGUAAUUUAGUACGAAUAAUAGAUCAAGUUACUAUAGGGAUAACAGCGUAAUUUUAUUUGAGAGUUCUUAUUGAUAAUAAAGAUUGCGACCUCGAUGUUGAUUUAAGAUUUCUCUGUAGAAGCAGGUGAUUUAUGAGAUGGUCUGUUCGACUAUUAAAAUCUUAUG
rnacentral:rRNA from 1 species